rnacentral:rRNA from 1 species
GACGAACGCUGGCGGCAUGCCUAAUACAUGCAAGUCGAGCGAACAGAUGAAGUGCUUGCACUUCUGACGUUAGCGGCGAACGGGUGAGUAACACGUAAGGAAUCUACCUAUAAGCGGGGGAUAACAUUCGGAAACGGGUGCUAAUACCGCAUAAUAUCUUCUUCCGCAUGGAAGAAGAUUGAAAGACGGCUCUGCUGUCACUUAUAGAUGACCUUGCGGUGCAUUAGUUAGUUGGUGGGGUAAUGGCCUAACAAGACGAUGAUGCAUAGCCGACCUGAGAGGGUGAUCGGCCACAUUGGGACUGAGACACGGCCCAAACUCCUACGGGAGGCAGCAGUAGGGAAUCUUCCGCAAUGGGCGAAAGCCUGACGGAGCAAUGCCGCGUGAGUGAAGAAGGCCUUCGGGUCGUAAAACUCUGUUAUAAGAGAAGAACAAAUUGUAGAGUAACUGCUACAGUCUUGACGGUAUCUUAUCAGAAAGCCACGGCUAACUACGUGCCAGCAGCCGCGGUAA